rnacentral:rRNA from 1 species
AUUGAACGCUGGCGGCAUGCCUUACACAUGCAAGUCGAACGGCAGCAUGGAAGAGCUUGCUCUUCUGAUGGCGAGUGGCGAACGGGUGAGUAAAGCAUCGGAACGUACCGUGUAGUGGGGGAUAACGUAGCGAAAGUUACGCUAAUACCGCAUACGCACUGAGGUGGAAAGCAGGGGAUCGCAAGACCUUGCGCUAUACGAGCGGCCGAUGUCAGAUUAGCUAGUUGGUAGGGUAAAGGCCUACCAAGGCGACGAUCUGUAGCGGGUCUGGGAGGAUGAUCCGCCACACUGGGACUGAGACACGGCCCAGACUCCUACGGGAGGCAGCAGGGGGAAUUUUGGACAAUGGGCGAAAGCCUGAUCCAGCCAUGCCGCGUGAGUGAAGAAGGCCUUCGGGUUGUAAAGCUCUUUCGGCUGGGAAGAAAUCGCACAGGCUAAUACUCUGUGUGGAUGACGGUACCAGCACAAGAAGCACCGGCUAACUACGUGCCAGCAGCCGCUGUAA